rnacentral:lncRNA from 1 species
CUCUCAGCUGAGAUGAAGGGAAUUAUUUUGUAAGCUGUUCCAUCAGAAAACCAAUGCUUUACUGAAAUCACCCCCUCCUAACUCCAGCAUCUCUUGAUACAGAAGUUCCUCCAUACCUAUGAUAGGCCUGCAGCUGCUGGUGGGUGUUAAUUGCCUUGAUGAGCCUCACCUGGGACCACCAUCACACCCUCCACCUGCAGGAGCCCCAUUAUAUAAGCUCAGCUCCAGGCUUCUGGAUCUUUCUUGAGUUCCAGCACUGGCAGACCUGCAUCUUGUCCUGCCUCCUGGAUGGACUGUGGAUCUCUGCUCCAAUGGAAAUCAGAGUUGAGAACUCACAUUGGCUAUAGACCACAUGCAUAUUGCAAGUGUCAGUGCUUCUGGUAUGGCAUUUUCUUUCAGUGUGAACACAACUACUGAUAAAAGUGAAGGCCUGUCUGUAUUUUCUUCUAUGCCAAACCAAUCCUUUUGGUGUCUUCACAUGCUGGAACGUCAGCUAUUAAAAGAUAUGCUGUGACUGAGAUGAUGGGGAGAGCAGGUCUUCCCUUGGAGCUGAAGUGCCUGCCCAUGUUUUAGUGGGGCUUGCAGCGGAAGCAGGCCUGUGGUGUGCCUCAGCCAGCCUCAUUCUGCUGACUUCCCGGGCUCCCCACUUUGUUUUUCCUCUGCUUUGGGAUUUGGCUCGGAUUGUGCUUGGACUGUGAAUGCUUCCAGAUGUUCUCAGCCCUCGGGGGGACAGAGGCGCGCCAGGCCCUAAUUGGUAUGCAAGCAAGGCCUGUGCAAGGGGCAUAUAAAACAUUACCUAUCCCUUGGCCAACGCCUCUUGCCUGGAGGCAUGCUGGUCGCUAGUGGCAAAGGGGAAGGAAAAUAUCACAGCCUGGUGGAACGGUUCCUUUUAUUACUGUAUCCCUGGGCAAAAUGGCCAGCGUGCUAAGUGGCACCUGGAUGGAAAGGCAGGAGAAUGCAACAGGAGGAAGCAAUGAGAAAGCAGUCCAAGCCAAAAGCAUUAAAAACCUGAAGGAAAACAUUACUUCUCUUGCUGCUGCCAAGUUUAUUUCAGUAUGUGGCAACCUGCUGAAGUACGUUCCUUUAUAGGGGAGGAAUUAGAGAGGACAAGACCUUAAAUUCCUCCCAUUUGCUCAAGAACUCUAGCAAACACCUCCUCCUUCUUCCCCCUCCUGCUGGUCCGAUUUUAAGGAGAUUUUAAUUUGAGCCCAAAGUGCU